GAAUAUGCUCCGGGGAGCUGGUUAGGCCGGCUGAGAGGGAAUGACAACAUUCCGACCCGUAUACCUGAUCCGGAUAAUGCCGGCGUAGGAACGUGAAGCGAGCGCUUCU
rnacentral:ncRNA from 2 species